rnacentral:rRNA from 1 species
AUGGAGGAACAGCUUGCGGCGCUGAUCCAGUCCGUCAACGAGGGGCGCGCCGCCAGCGACGCCAAGUUGGAGGCGAUCCAGCAGUCUAUCAAGCUGUGGCGACCGGCGGUCUCCAACCCGCAACAUCAGCUAGAUGAGCUUCGAUCUCAGGUCGGCAAAAUCGCCCUGCAUCCAGCGCUCGCGGAUCCAGACACGACGGCGGCGUCAUCGUCCGCGGCGCGACGGGCGGCGCCUCAACCUAGCGCUGGCAUCGGCCACCAUGGGCCCGCUGGCCACGGCGAGAUCCACGACUCCGGAGGCUCGGUACACGGGGUGGUCACCACCCUGGAACCGCCUCCGGUCACGGGUGCGUUUCAUUCCCCUGUUGCUUCUACAUCUAGAGAGUUGGCGUUGGGUGCUGUCGCUGAACACUCAUCACCACAUGGCGCACAGCACAGCCACUGGGUUCUGCCUAAAUUGGAUUUCCCCCAAUUCGAUGGGGAUAAUCCACAAUUUUGGCGGAUCAAGUGUGAGAAGUAUUUCGAUGUAUAUGGAGUCCAUCCAGAAUUGUGGGUUCAUGUCGCCACACUGCACUUCACCAGCAACGCCGCGCGUUGGCUGCAGCUGCAUGAUCUGAGCACUAGAUCAUUUACUUGGGAAAAAUUAUGUGAGUCUCUUUGCAGUAAGUUCGGACGCGACCAAUAUCAGGCGCAGCUUCGUCAGUUUGCCGCACUCUGCCAAACUGGGUCAGUCACAGAAUAUAUGAAUCAUUUUGAAGAGAUGAUGCACCAAUUGCUUGCACACAAUGCGGGAUUUGAUCCCCUUUACUUUACCACUAAAUUCCUAGAUGGCCUGCGUGCUGAAAUUCGUGCUGGGGUAGUACUGCAUCGACCACAAGAAUUGGAUACUGCCUUUUCCUUGGCUCUGUUGCAGGAGGAGAUUUUGGAGGCAUUGCCACAUCGCGAGUACCGGCGUCUGGAGGGUGCUCCCGGGCGAGCUCCGACGCGCCCACUGCUGGCUAAUGUCGUGCCACCCGCGCGCGUUCCACUGCCCGUUCCACAAGCUGCGGCGGAGGAUCGUCGCGGCCUCGACGCGGCUCGCGCUGGCGACCACCGACAAGACCAAGGGUGUGGCAAUGACCGAAUUGCGGCGCUGCGUAACUAUCGCCGUGCGCGAGGGCUUUGCUUUAAAUGUGGGGAGCGCUGGGGGCAAGGCCACCAGUGCGCUGCCACGGUACAGCUGCAUAUUGUGGAGGAACUACUCGACCUAUUGCAAGCCGAUGACAGAGAUCAGCAAGUGCAAGAGCAAGUGGCAGAAGAAGAGGAGCAGAUUAUGUCCAUUUCAAAACUGGCAACGACGGGGCAGACGACUCCGCGAACAGUUCGUUUGCUGGGGCUGAUUGAUGACCAGGAAGUGCUAAUUCUGGUUGAUUCUAGAAGCUCUCACAGCUUCAUCAGCGAGGCGGUAGCGGACAGAUUUGCCAACAGAAUCAGUAAGAUGACUCCAGUUUCAGUUAAGGUGGCGGAUGGUGGACUGUUGUCGUGCUCAGGUUACAUCAAGCAGUGCCAAUGGAGCACUUAG